UCGUGUUUGGAGUGUUUUAGUUUGUGUCUUUGAGUUCUCAAAGUUUUCGGAGUAUAUUUGGCUGUUUUUUUUCCCCCUGUUGCGAUACACAACAGCGGCAUUUCGAUGGAAAGUAGUAGAGGAAUCUACAAACCCAUCAGGGUGUUGUUUGGCACACCCAUUUAUGAAACAACUGUGGACACUUGUUGGCAUCUUCAGGGCUACAAGACCCAGAUUGCAGUGAUGAGGGAGUUCCUCAGGCUUCAGCAGGAAGAUCAUAUUCCACCUCAGAUCACUGCUGAAGAUAUGAGCAACUUACUGGUGCAGGAG